rnacentral:rRNA from 1 species
UACGGAGGGGGCAAGCGUUGUUCGGAAUUACUGGGCGUAAAGGGCGCGUAGGCGGCCCUGUCAGUCGGGUGUGAAAGCCCGGGGCUCAACCCCGGAACGGCACCCGAGACGGCAGGGCUGGAGACCGGGAGAGGAGGGUGGAAUAGCCAGUGUAGAGGUGAAAUUCGUAGAUAUUGGCUGGAACACCGGUGGCGAAAGCGGCUCUCUGGCCCGGUUCUGACGCUGAGGCGCGAAAGCGUGGGGAGCAAACAGG